rnacentral:rRNA from 1 species
UAAACCUGCAAACGGCUCAUUAAAUCAGUUUCAAUCUACUCGAUCAUAUACUUUUACUUGGAUAACUGUAGUAAUUCUAGAGCUAAUACAUGCAAAGACCUCAGACGUAAGAAUGAGGGUAACUAUUUGACUUUAAAACCAAUACUAGUAUUCAAACUCUACUUAGUUAUUUUUGUAGGGGCUAGUUUGACUUUUGAUUAAGAAUACAAUUACGAAUCGCGAUUUAAUUAUGUGAUGAUACGAACGAAAUUCUGCCCUAUCAACUUUCGAUGGUAAAGUAGAGGUUUACCAUGGUUUUAACGGGUAACGGAGAAUCUGGGUUUGAUUCCGGAGAAAAGGCCUGAGAGACGGCCAUUACUUCUAAGGAAGGCAGCAGGCGCGUAAAUUACCCAAUCCUAAUUCGGGGAGGUAGUGACGAGAAAUACUU